CCCUUUUCCCCCUCCCUUUCUGUUAUAUUUGCUGAGCUGUUUGCAUUUUAACUUUGCAGGAGAAGGAAAAGAGGAAAUGAUGUUUUGUAAAAAUACACAGUAAUUACCAAUUGGACUAAACUAGAGGCAGCAACUGAUGGCAGUGCGGAGGGAACCAGCCAGGGUUGCUGACAGAGGGAGCCUGGUAAGGUCUUCAUGAAAUGAAAGGGAUGUGGAGCUCUGCAGCUUCUGCCCACAGCUUCUGCUCAGCCAUCGUGGGAGUCGCUUCCUCAAAGUUCCCUCCUGAGAAGAGAUGUGGUUUUAAGAAGAUGGAGAUGGCUCAUUCUGCAUUAAAGGACUGGACAGGGGAUUCCAAACUAAAAUAUGGCUCCAGUUCUGACCAGCACCUUUGUGUUGCUGUGUAGGAAGAUGGGAUCAUGGUGUCAGUCUGAGCUCUGGGAGUCUGGAGAAAUCCCUGCCACACUGUAAAAGAAUUUACAGGAGCAACAAGAGUCUGAACUGUGCUGAAAUAAUCCUGAGAGCAUCACACUCCUCACACUGCAACAGCUGAAAGAGAAAAUUCCUCUGUACCUUCCACAGGCUGGAAACAGUGGCCUCAGAGAUGUCAGAGAGGUGAUUUAGUGCCGGGUUUCUAUGGAAGGUUCCUCCAUUCAGCUGUAAUUUAGAGCCAUUGCUUAAAUCCUUCCGAAAGUUCACUUCUGGGAGCUUCCCUGCUUUGUACCCAGCCCGGGAAAUAAAAAUGCACAUCUUCAGAGGAGGUUCCAAUCAGCAUCUGAGCAGGACUGAGGAUGGUGAUUGCAAACUGAAGGUGGCUCUUUGCCAUAUAUCAAGGAGGUAUAUAGGAUAUAUCAUCUUUCCUGAUGGGAUGGGAAGGGAA